rnacentral:lncRNA from 1 species
AAAAUUCCAUCUCACUAAACUAAUUACAAAAAUCCCUUCUAAAUUUCUAAACAAGUUUUUUAUCUGAUACAUAACACAUAACUCCUAUUUUUAAGCCAUAAAUCACGUUGACAUUGUUGCGGAUAAGGAAAAUUCUGUUUUCCUUAAAAAAACAUGGCUAUUAAAUCAUUGAUCAUUAAGUAAUAGUAAUAGUUAACAAUAAAUUGAACAAUUAUUUAACUCCCAUUGUCAAAAUUAAAAAAAUAAGAAAAAAAAGCUGGGAUUUGUAGACACAAUGGAAACAUUUGGGAUCGAUACAUUCGACGAAUUAAGGACCAAGAACGUAAAAUUCUUUGACAGGGGUAAUUUAGCAACUACUCCCCUUUUUGCUGGAUUUACUGUCAUGAUUGUUCUCACCACUAUUACUUCCCACACUCGCAAAUGAAGAAGACCAUAAAAUUUUAUGGUGCAACAAUAUUAUUGUGUACUCUCUGUCUCAAUGAAUGAAUAUCAAGAGAGGGAUAUCUACUACUGUUGCUAUUAGCAUUGUUGUUAAUUUAUUUGAGGCUCUUGAGUUUCUAAUAAAGGUAUGAUUUUUUUUAUAUAUAAGAUUGAUAAAUUUCGUUCAUAUAUAUUUUAUUUAUGUAUCAUAAUAUUUAAUAAAACAAACGAAAUUGUAAAUAUUAUUUCUGAUACAUAGAUAUUUUCUUGACAGAGAUAUUACAUGUAUUUUGAUACAUAAAAUUAUUCCUGACAGAGGUAAUCAAUGAUUUCUAAUACAUUCAAUAUAUAUUUCUUAUUCUGAUACAGAAAUAUAAAGAAAUUAAGUAUUAAAUUCGUUUUUUGAUACAUAGAUAUUUUUUUGAUAGAGAUAUUAUAUGCAUUCUGAUACACACAACUAUUUCUGAUAGAGGUAAUCAAUGAUUUCUGAUACAUUCAAUAUGUAUUUCUUAUUCUGAUACAUAAAUACAAAGAAAUUAAGUUUAAAAUUCAUUUUCUGAUACAUACAAAUAUAUAUAUAUAUAUGUGUGUGUGUGUGUGUGUGUGUGUGUGUGUGAUAUGAGAUUCGUCUGAUACAUCAGAUUCUUAUAGUAUGUUCAAUUUUUUUCUGAACGCAGGGAAUGAACGAUUGGAGAAGAAAUUAGUUUUGAAAAAUUGUGAUAAAUGAAGAUUGAUUUGAUUAUUCAAAUUUCAAAUAAUGAAGUUGUUGAGGAUUUUAUAUAAUUAAAUGGAAAAAAUCUUAAAUUGAGUGUGUUAAUUUCUCAAUUAUAAGCACUUUUAACGUUUUUCCUUUUUUAUCUCCAACAAAUUGGUUAAUAAUGUAUCAUAAGCUUAUGUAUGGGAGGUUAAAUAAUGUAUCAUAUUCGGGAUAUCAUGUAAUUAAUAAAAAAGUUGGGAGAGAGGGUAAUUAGAUAACAAAGUGUUGGAAUUUAUGUUGUUUACCCGAGUUAUAAAGGAGUAGUAAAGAUCAGGCCGAUAUGUCUCCAAUUUGUGUUUCAAUGACCAAAACUUUUCUCUCCAUCAGAAUCUAUUGCAAUUGUCAUUUUCC